rnacentral:tRNA from 2 species
GGGAUGUUGGUCUAGCUUGGUGAAUGACAUUGCUCUUAUAUGGCGAAGAUCGGUGGUUCAAACCCACCACAUCCCACCA